rnacentral:rRNA from 1 species
UACGUAGGGGGCAAGCGUUAUCCGGAUUUACUGGGUGUAAAGGGAGCGUAGACGGUUGCUUAGGUCUGAUGUGAAAGCCUUCGGCUUAACCGAAGAAGUGCAUCGGAAACCGGGCGACUUGAGUGCAGAAGAGGACAGUGGAACUCCAUAUGUAGCGGUGAAAUGCGUAGAUAUAUGGAAGAACACCAGUGGCGAAAGCGGCUCUCUGGUCUGUAACUGACGCUGAGGUUCGAAAGCGUGGGUAGCAAACAGG